GGACUCUGGAGAAGCUCAAUUAUGAGGGCCGAAGGUGAAAACGCAGAGAUGCGCGAAUCUCUCAGGCAAAAGGACAGAGUAAG
rnacentral:ncRNA from 1 species